UCUUCCCGCCGCUAAUUGUGGGGCUCCUCUUUCGGGAUUGGCUGCGCUUCCCAUCCAUAAUGUAAUUAAACCCAACGAGGAAGCAGCCCCCCUCCCAGUCCAGCGCUUGCUGAAGUUAAUGCGGCUAUUUAAGAAGAUUUAACUGGGCCAGAGUUGCUGCUUCGAAAUAAAGCGAUGCACAAUGCGAAUGUCUUUUUCCCCAGCUCUUUUGGGUCUCGUUCACACUCUCUCUACCUGAAACCAGUUUCUCCAUCAACUGAGGUCAUCUGUCCUUGUGGAGAUCUGCCAAGUUUACUACUAGUGAGGAUCCAAGGAGGACUGGAAUGUCCUGUGAAGCCCACAGCCUCCUAAGGAUGGCAGCCUCCAGCCAUAUCUCCAGGAGUCUAUCUUUCUCAGAGUUGGACUUCUCCUCAACCAAAGUCCUCCACAACUAACAGAGCUAACGCAAGCUAGUUCCUGAUGUGUGCCUUCAAGUUGUCUCAUGGCAACCCUAAGGGAUGUCUUUGCCUUCCUCUGAGGCUGAGAGAAUGGGACUUGAACCCAGUGGGCUUCCACAGCCAAGCAGAGAUGCAAAGCCUGAUCUCCAGAGUCCUAGUCCCAGGCUCAAGCCA